rnacentral:miRNA from 1 species
GACGUCGAUAUUCGACGUCAUAAACACCAAAGUUGAUCGUGUUUAUGACGUCGAAUAUCGACGUC